rnacentral:snoRNA from 1 species
UUGGCAUGAUGAGGAAUACGAUUGUUGUCUCAUCUAGUAUUUGAUUAUAAAAAUCCUCCUACUCAUUCUGA